AUACUAUCAUUGUAUGUGUUCCAUACAGUUAUUUGGUGGUGUUUUACUAACACUGGAUACUAUACCAGUCUGGAUAAGAUGGUUGCAAUACGUCUCAUUAUUCCGAUACUCAAUUGAAGCUAUUGUAGUCAAUGAAAUUGAUGGACUGUAUUUUAAUCAAACAAUUAAUGGUAGUAGUGUGUUAGUUCCUGGUAGUGAGUUAUUGUCAUUUCAAGGAUACAAGACCAGUUGGUUGUGGUAUGACAUGAUUGGACUAGGAGGACUGGCUCUUCUAUUCCUAACACUAACAUACAUUACACUGAGACUAAUUAAGAAAGAAAAAUAAAUAAAUAAUAAUAACAACAAUAAUAAUGAUGACAAUAAUGAUAAUGAUAGUUGUUGCCUGUCUUGUUGUCUUGGUUUAAUAAUGAUGACUUUUAUUUUUAGCUCAAGGUAUGCACAUUAAGGAAAAA